GAGAUGCUUGUCAGUGUGUGUGUGGCUGUCGUGGUGUGCGGGCGCGCCACAGCAGGGCCAGACAGGUGAUUACAGGUGUAGCUCGCGCGUGGCACCAUACAAGGACAAUACAAGAGAACCAGUGACACGAUUACAGGAGAGAUAACGAGCAAGGAUACGAUUCAACACCCCGACAAGGACGACCGAAACCUGUGAAUAUACCUGGAACGGAUUAAGCUGAGGACAUGUGGGAUAAAGGGGAGAACAAACAUCAAACAGGAUCAAAACUACGUGGAGGGAGCUAAACACACCCACCCACCCACACACACACACACACACACACACACACACACACACACACACACACUCACCUGUCAGACCAGCCCCAGGUGUGUUCGAGUCCCCGUCUGCAGUGAUGAGAAGUAAGCACACGAGAGCUAACCAUGCGGAUGCUGCGGACGCUAAAGAGGACACUAGCGGUGUUGGCGUUCGUCUGCAUGACCUUGAAGAUACAGCUGGAACUUCGACUGGUGAGAGAGGGAAGAAACAUCGGAGGAUACUCGCCCUGGUGGGGAAACGAGACCCUGGGGCACCUCCGCGCCUUCCCUAAGCUUGCCAGGAGACCAAACAUCACCCUGAGUGUCUUACGAGCUACAACGAGUGAUGGGAUGGUGAACGUACUGCCGGGUUAUGAGAAUUUGACUCGUGCGCAUGAACAAGAGGGAAAAUCAGACCCAAAGACCUCCAAUAGGAAGAUACUGAGUGAUGUGACGAAUAAGACGAAUCCUGCAGCGGGGAAAACUUCAGGGGCAGGGACGGGGGCGGGGACAGUCUCCAGGAACUCCGGCCUUAUCGAACACACUGUCACGGCCGCAGAGUCUCCUAGCAACCACAAAACACGGGCGGGAAUAUUUGCUAAGCUCAGAAUAUACGAUGGAGAGAACACCAUCGAUACGGAGGCUAUUUAUUCCUCGCAGAGAAGGGAGGUUGUCGGGGGGGAGGGGACGAAUGCAUCAGAUGACAACACAUCGAUUGCUCAAAGUGAUGGGAAGAAAGAGACAACGCGGAGAGAGAAGCCGCCGAACGUGAUAAUCCCGAAACAUAAGAAUGGUACUAGUGUUCCGAGGAGG